rnacentral:rRNA from 1 species
UACGGAGGGGGCUAGCGUUGUUCGGAAUUACUGGGCGUAAAGCGCACGUAGGCGGCUUGGUAAGUUAGAGGUGAAAGCCUGGAGCUCAACUCCAGAAUUGCCUUUAAGACUGCCGAGCUAGCAGGUGAGAGAGGUGAGUGGAAUUCCGAGUGUAGAGGUGAAAUUCGUAGAUAUUCGGAAGAACACCAGUGGCGAAGGCGGCUCACUGGACCGUUGUUGACGCUGAGGUGCGAAAGCGUGGGGAGCAAACAGG